rnacentral:rRNA from 1 species
AACUAUAAGACGAGAAGACCCCAUGGAGCUUUAAACCUAGCCACACCCAGAAUCUUUAUACCUAACUAUUAUCUGAACCCUGUAAGCUAGGCUUUAGGUUGGGGUGACCGCGGAGUAAAACAAAACCUCCGCAAUGAACGAAACUACCGUCUUAUCUAAGAAUAACCCCUCUAAGAAUUAGCACUCUAACAUAAAUGAUCCAAUUAUUG